UUGGGGGCUUACCUGCAAGUCGAGCGGAUGAAGGGAGCUUGCUCCUGGAUUCAGCGGCGGACGGGUGAGUAAUGCUUAGGAAUCUGCCUAUUAGUGGGGGACAACAUUUCGAAAGGGAUGCUAAUACCGCAUACGCCCUACGGGGGAAAGCAGGGGAUCUUCGGACCUUGCGCUAAUAGAUGAGCCUAAGUCAGAUUAGCUAGUUGGUGGGGUAAAGGCCUACCAAGGCGACGAUCUGUAGCGGGUCUGAGAGGAUGAUCCGCCACACUGGGACUGAGACACGGCCCAGACUCCUACGGGAGGCAGCAGUGGGGAAUAUUGGACAAUGGGGGGAACCCUGAUCCAGCCAUGCCGCGUGUGUGAAGAAGGCCUUUUGGUUGUAAAGCACUUUAAGCGAGGAGGAGGCUCUUCUAGUUAAUACCUAGGAUGAGUGGACGUUACUCGCAGAAUAAGCACCGGCUAACUCUGUGCCAGCAGCCGCGGUAAUACAGAGGGUGCGAGCGUUAAUCGGAUUUACUGGGCGUAAAGCGUACGUAGGCGGCUUUUUAAGUCGGAUGUGAAAUCCCUGAGCUUAACUUAGGAAUUGCAUUCGAUACUGGGAAGCUAGAGUAUGGGAGAGGAUGGUAGAAUUCCAGGUGUAGCGGUGAAAUGCGUAGAGAUCUGGAGGAAUACCGAUGGCGAAGGCAGCCAUCUGGCCUAAUACUGACGCUGAGGUACGAAAGCAUGGGGAGCAAACAGGAUUAGAUACCCUGGUAGUCCAUGCCGUAAACGAUGUAUACUAGCCGUUGGGGCCUUUGAGGCUUUAGUGGCGCAGCUAACGCGAUAAGUAGACCGCUGGGGAGUACGGUCGCAAGACUAAAACUCAAAUGAAUUGACGGGGGCCCGCACAAGCGGUGGAGCAUGUGGUUUAAUUCGAUGCAACGCGAAGAACCUUACCUGGUCUUGACAUAGUAAGAACUUUCCAGAGAUGGAUUGGUGCCUUCGGGAACUUACAUACAGGUUUUUCUAUAGGGGUUUUUUUUGCUCGUGUCGUGAGAUGUUGGGUUAAGUCCCGCAACGAGCGCAACCCUUUUCCUUAUUUGCCAGCGGUUCGGCCGGGAACUUUAAGGAUACUGCCAGUGACAAACUGGAGGAAGGCGGGGACGACGUCAAGUCAUCAUGGCCCUUACGACCAGGGCUACACACGUGCUACAAUGGUCGGUACAAAGGGUUGCUACCUCGCGAGAGGAUGCUAAUCUCAAAAAGCCGAUCGUAGUCCGGAUUGGAGUCUGCAACUCGACUCCAUGAAGUCGGAAUCGCUAGUAAUCGCGGAUCAGAAUGCCGCGGUGAAUACGUUCCCGGGCCUUGUACACACCGCCCGUCACACCAUGGGAGUUUGUUGCACCAGAAGUAGGUAGUCUAACCGUAAGGAGGACGCUACUCACGUCCCCCAC
rnacentral:rRNA from 1 species